CUAUAUUCCAAUUACGAACACUGCUUACAUGAUUUCUGGUUAAAGCUUUUCAAAAUGCUCCAUUUUCCACAUUCACACAAAUGUUAUUGGGUUUUUAAUAAUUACAGUUUUGUUACGCAAACCCACUUUUUCUUCAUCCCAUCGCCGUUAUCCCUCCUCUAUAUAUAUACAUACUUGUAUGUAUUUCGUACAGAUACUUUUUUUCUAUGAUUUACAGUUUUCUGGCGUUCAAUGGAAGGUUAUGGGGAAAAAUCUUUUCAAGACUCCACUGUUGACCCGAGCCAUAGCCCUUUAAGUAACUAUUAUCUUGAAUUUGCAGGACAUGAGGGUGGCCUGGGAGACACUGAUGAUGGGCAAGAUCAUUCUUGUACUUUGGAAAUUACAGAUGAGUCUGUACUUGAUGGUGAAGUUGAAAAGAGGUUAUACCAGCUGAAUCCGGUUCCCCACGUUCCAAGAAUUAAUGAAGGCAUACCUUCUGUCGAUGAAGCAACUUUAGACCAUCAAAGGCUGCUGGAUAGAUUGCAGUUAUAUGACUUGGUUGAGCACAAAGUUCUAGGGGAUGGAAACUGUCAAGUUAGUUGCUGCAACUGUUUCCCAGCUAUUUUCCGUGCUUUAUCAGAUCAAUUCUAUCAGAUCCCUGAGCACCACAUAUUUGUGAGACAGCAAGUUAUCAAUCAGCUUAGAGCUCAUCCAGAAAUGUAUGAGGGGUACGUUCCCAUGGAUUAUGGUGAAUAUCUGGAAAGAAUGUCCAGGAGCGGAGAGUGGGGUGAUCAUGUCACUCUUCAGGCUGUCGCAGAUUCGUAUGGGGUAAAAGUUCUUCUCAUAACUUCAUUUGAGGACACAUGUUACAUUGAGCUUCUUCCCAAGGACCAAAAGUCUAAAAGAGGUACUAAGCUGGAGUGAGCGAUGAUGAUAAAAAUAAGACCACGCAAAUGGAUAUCAGUUGUUACCGGGAAAUUUGAAGAUGGAUGUUAUGUGAUCCAAGUCAUAUAUUUGAGCUUUUGGGCUGAGGUACACUACAACUCAAUCUAUCCUCGGGGAGAUCAGCUUUCAAGUGAUAUUUAGAAGAAAAGGUGAUGGAACUUCAGAACAAGCACCAGAAGCAUUUUUGCUCUACAAGCAAAUGCCCAGUUUACUGGUUUUCUUGGAAAAAAAUUUGGCAUGAUAUAAUUGUAUUUUGUUUUCUCCUUGGGUUACCAAAUCUCUGUUGAUACUAUUUGAAGAAAUUUUACGAUACAUGUCAACUGUCAAUAAGUCUAAGAAAAAACAGAGAGGUUUGAAAGAUAUAAUAUUUCAAAUAAAGUUGUACAAGUAGCAUUAUUGUAUUUCAAAUGCUAUACUUUUCAUGUUCU